GGAAGAAAGACAGCCAGUGGAGGCCUCCUCUGAGACGACAGAUCUUGUCAAGGAUUGAGCCUGCUGCCUUGAACUUGUCAGGUUCAAUUUUGCCAUCAGAUCCUACGUGCUGGUGCUUGGCUUGGAGAAUUUGUUGCUCUACUGGUGACCGUGAGAUGAGCUUACUGUGACAGGCACAUUGUUUUUCACUGAGUCCCUGCACCUGGAGCAGAAGUAUUGCUGCACAUUCAGAUGAUGACUGAAGCAAGAAUGAUUGAGCACUGCAAAGGAAAAUCUCUAGGUAGAUAAUUUAUGAGAACCAACGAAACAAACAACCCAACUACACAGUAGAAGAUGCUGACGGGGGAAAAUGUCCCUCCA